rnacentral:rRNA from 1 species
AGCGAACGCUGGCGGCAGGCCUAACACAUGCAAGUCGAACGAACCCUUCGGGGUUAGUGGCGGACGGGUGAGUAACACGUGGGAACGUGCCUUUAGGUUCGGAAUAACUCAGGGAAACUUGUGCUAAUACCGAAUGUGCCCUUCGGGGGAAAGAUUUAUCGCCUUUAGAGCGGCCCGCGUCUGAUUAGCUAGUUGGUGAGGUAAUGGCUCACCAAGGCUACGAUCAGUAGCUGGUCUGAGAGGAUGACCAGCCACAUUGGGCCUGAGACACGGCCCAAGCUCCUACGGGAGGCAGCAGUGGGGAAGCUUGCGCAAUGGGCGAAAGCCUGACGCAGCCAUGCCGCGUGGAUGAUGAAGGUCUUAGGAUUGUAAAAUCCUUUCACCGGUGAAGAUAAUGACUGUAGCCGGAGAAGAAGCCCCGGCUAACUUCGUGCCAGCCGCCGCCGUAACAC